CCUACGGGAGGCAGCAGUGAGGAAUAUUGGUCAAUGGCCGGAAGGCUGAACCAGCCAUGCCGCGUGAAGGGCAAUGCCCUAUGGGCGUUAAACUUCUUUUGUGCGGGAGCAAUAAUGGUCACGUGUGGCCAGACGAGAGUACCGUACGAAUAAGCAUCGGCUAACUCCGUGCCAGCAGCCGCGGUAAUACGGGGGAUGCAAGCGUUAUCCGGAUUUAUUGGGGUUAAAGGGUGCGUAGGCUGUGAGGUAAGUCAGCGGUGAAAUGCCCCCGCUCAACGGGGUGAAGUGCCAUUGAUACUGCCUUGCUGGAAUGCGGAUGCCGUGGGAGGAAUGUGUGGUGUAGCGGUGAAAUGCAUAGAUAUCACACAGAACACCGAUUGCGAAGGCAUCUCACGAAUCCGCGAUUGACGCUGAUGCACGAAAGCGUGGGUAUCAAACAGGAUUAGAUACCCCUGUAGUC
rnacentral:rRNA from 1 species